GAACUGGCAUCCGACGACAUCACAAAGUGGGUAGAUGCCGUAUCAUAAUUCAUUGGUCCGUAUUGGUCCGUUUUUGUGAUUGCCACAUCCAUGUGCGCGAGGAUUCUGCCUUGUGGCCGCUGCAUGCGCGGGAAAUGCAGUUUCGUUCACGGUUACCAUGCGUGAAUCUUUUGUACAUGCUGAACUUUUGUACAUGUUGAU
rnacentral:lncRNA from 1 species